GACGAACGCUGGCGGCGUGCUUAACACAUGCAAGUCGAACGGGCCUUGACCCCUUUUUUUUGGGGGUGGGGUUAGUGGCGAACGGGUGAGUAACACGUGAGUAACCUGCCCCUCACUUCUGGAUAACCGCUUGAAAGGGUGGCUAAUACGGGGUGUUCUGGCCUGCUCGCAUGGGUGGGUUUGGAAAGAUUCGACCGGUUUUGGUUGUUUUGGUGGGGGAUGGGCUCGCGGCCUAUCAGCUUGUUGGUGGGGUGAUGGCCUGCCAAGGCUUUGACGGGUAGCCGGCCUGAGAGGGUGGGCGGUCACACUGGGACUGAGACACGGCCCAGACUCCUACGGGAGGCAGCAGUGGGGAAUAUUGCACAAUGGGCGCAAGCCUGAUGCAGCGACGCCGCGUGAGGGAUGGAGGCCUUCGGGUUGUGAACCUCUUUCGCCAGUGAAGAAGGUCCUGCUCUUUGUGGUGGGGUUGACGGUAGCUGGGUUAAUGAAGCGCCGGCUAACUACGUG
rnacentral:rRNA from 1 species